UUUUUUUUAAUCAAUUUUCUCUUAAAAUUUUUCUGAACCAGAAACUGACAUUUUCUGAAUCUAUCGGGAGACAGAGUACAAGAUUUAGAACUCAGGUACAUCAUUGCAUAACACAUUUACCUUUAAUAAUUGCUAUUUAGCCGUUCACCUUCUAGAGGUGUAAUAAUAAAUAGACUGAUAUUAAUGCAGUAUGAUAGGGCUGUAUUAAGAAGAUGCACUGUGAGACCUCAUAGGAGGAAGAUAUAACUCAGCCUUGGAGGUGCCAGGGAAAGCCUGGCAGAGCUAACUUAAGCUAAAUUCUGUAAGCAGUGAAUGUAAAGCUGUAGGCCUACGGUGAGGCCAUAGUUUAGAGAGUUAAGCAAAUAUAUGAAGAAGAACACAUGCUUCCUAUUUAUUACUAACAUCUUCAUAAAAACAAGAAUUUUUUUCCCCCAUAGAAUGGUUUUGGUCUUUUGGAAUUACUGACUUUAAAGCUCCUCCUCCUUUCCUUGUUUCCUUUCUCUUACCUGCUUCCCUGUUUGUUUUUUUUCCCCUCUUUUAUCAUUAUCCUUCUCAGUGUUUGUUUAAAAUAAAACAGUCUAUAUGUAAUCAUUGUCUUACAUUUAGUGCUAAUUAAGGUCUCAAGUGUACUGUGAACUUGAGGUAUAAGUUUAGGCUAACUGUAUAAAGUAAGACUGGUUGCAUGGGGGGCACCACUAACUUCACUGUUAAGAUUAGCUGAGUGAUCCCAAAAAUAUGAUUUAAAAAUUGUGUAGUAACGGAACAGAUUCUAGACCAGAAAAACUGCUAUUACUGGCAUCCCAAGACAACCACUAACCCAAAUUAAAUGAAAGGAAUUCAUUUUCUUACUGACCUCCAUUUAAAAUGUUGACCCAUUAUUCAAAAGACCGGUUUUAUUAGUACGUAUGAUACAGAAACAAAAGGUCGCUCAUCUUACUUAAAAAGGUUACUAGCUACUGUAAAAUGGGUCAGUUUUUUUCUUUUAUGCUCACUUGUUUUACUUGUCCUAGGAACUUUCCUGGUAGCUUAAGAUUCUAGUUAAGUUUUUAUUCCUAUGUUAGCAUUUUUCUAAUAGCAUAAUUGGUACCUUUAUUUCCAAAUUGUGCUAGUUAGAUCAUUUUUUCCUUGUGACCAUUCUAUUAAGUAAGUCGUAUUAUCCCUAUAUUAUAGGUGAGAAAAAGUAAUUUUCCCAAGGUCAUAACAAUUACAAGAGCCAGAAUUCAAACUAGGUCAUUCUGACCAAAGAUCCUAUGCUUUUAAUUUCUACUGUCUUGUAUUUUUUUUUUUAAUAUGUACAUGGCAACUAAUUUUACAAAGAAAAUAUUAGUAAGUGCACUUGAGGUUAACUUAAUCUUCUGUCAUUUAUUGAAUGAUUCAUUCAGUACAUAUUUUUUAAACAUUCCUUCUGUGUCAGGCACUGUACUAAGGUGCUGGGGUUGUAGUAGUGAACAAGUUUGAUAAGAUACCUGCCCUUGGGGGACUUGUCUUCUAGUGGGGAAAACAGUAAAUAGGUAAGUAGGCAAGAUAAUUACAGAUUGUGGAGAGUUAUAAAGGUAAUAAAUAUGAUGAGGUACAGGGAUAGAAAGUGGAAAGUUUCGAGGGGCUUUCAAAUAGGGUGACUAGGGAAGGCCUCAAGAGAAUACUCUGAGCAGACAAGGAGGAACCAGUUUUUUGCCAAAUAAACAGUAACUGUUCCAACUUAAAAUGGGGAUGUCCCUUAUUAAAAUGGAGAUAAUAAUUGUGCCUACUGAGAUGUAAAGCACUUACCACAUACCAGGUAUAUAGUCAGAACUCAAUAAAUGUUAGCUGUUAUUAAACAACUAAUAGUAUUACAGCAUCAGAUUUACUGGUUGUAUAUUUUUACAAUACUGUUCCAAAGGUAACAGUGUAUCUCUUAAACAUGUGGAAGGUGCUGUGUCAUUUAAGCACAGUUUUUUUCCUGAGUAUCUGCUAUGGCUGACACUGUUGUAGGCUCUGCAUAUAUAGCUGGGGAUAUUUCUUUAUGGUUAUUAAAAAAAAAAUGAGAAAAAAUUAUUUUGUUUUAAGAAUAUUUUACCACCAAUCUUAAUAUUAUAGGUCAUGUGUGAUAAGCCUGAUGCUUUUGCCCUUUCACAAGGCCUCUUACCUUGAAUGGUAAUUAAAUUAGCAAAGAUUUGAUAAUAUACUGGGUCUGUUACUAAAGAAAAGCACAGAAGGUGAAAAGAUACUUCUAAAAUCUUACAAAGAAUUUUAAAAAGGAUAGAAUUGCAUAGUCCUAAUAAAGUAUUCAGCUGCUGGAGUGAACUAAAUCAUUUCCAUAGCUUCUUAAAUUGGGUGGAUAACUAUUUUUUGCUUGGAAGAGUUAGUUAAAUUCAGCUCCAGAGAUUUUA